rnacentral:rRNA from 1 species
AUUGAACGCUGGCGGCAGGCCUAACACAUGCAAGUCGAACGGUAGCACAGAGAGCUUGCUCUUGGGUGACGAGUGGCGGACGGGUGAGUAAUGUCUGGGAAACUGCCCGAUGGAGGGGGAUAACUACUGGAAACGGUAGCUAAUACCGCAUAACGUCUUCGGACCAAAGUGGGGGACCGUCGGGCCUCACACCAUCGGAUGUGCCCAGAUGGGAUUAGCUAGUAGGUGGGGUAAAGGCUCACCUAGGCGACGAUCCCUAGCUGGUCUGAGAGGAUGACCAGCCACACUGGAACUGAGACACGGUCCAGACUCCUACGGGAGGCAGCAGUGGGGAAUAUUGCACAAUGGGCGCAAGCCUGAUGCAGCCAUGCCGCGUGUAUGAAGAAGGCCUUCGGGUUGUAAAGUACUUUCAGCGGGGAGGAAGGCGUUAAGGUUAAUAACCUUGGCGAUUGACGUUACCCGCAGAAGAAGCACCGGCUAACUCCGUGCCAGCCGCCGCGGUAA